UUUAUGGAGAGUUUGAUCCUGGCUCAGAGUGAACGCUGGCGGCGUGCCUAAUACAUGCAAGUCGAACGAUGAAGCUUCUAGCUUGCUAGAAUGCUGAUUAGUGGCGCACGGGUGAGUAACGCAUAGGUCAUGUGCCUCUUAGUUUGGGAUAGCCAUUGGAAACGAUGAUUAAUACCAGAUACUCCCUACGGGGGAAAGAUUUAUCGCUAAGAGAUCAGCCUAUGUCCUAUCAGCUUGUUGGUAAGGUAAUGGCUUACCAAGGCUAUGACGGGUAUCCGGCCUGAGAGGGUGAACGGACACACUGGAACUGAGACACGGUCCAGACUCCUACGGGAGGCAGCAGUAGGGAAUAUUGCUCAAUGGGGGAAACCCUGAAGCAGCAACGCCGCGUGGAGGAUGAAGGUUUUAGGAUUGUAAACUCCUUUUGUUAGAGAAGAUAAUGACGGUAUCUAACGAAUAAGCACCGGCUAACUCCGUGCCAGCAGCCGCGGUAAUACGGAGGGUGCAAGCGUUACUCGGAAUCACUGGGCGUAAAGAGCGCGUAGGCGGGAUAGUCAGUCAGGUGUGAAAUCCUAUGGCUUAACCAUAGAACUGCAUUUGAAACUACUAUUCUAGAGUGUGGGAGAGGUAGGUGGAAUUCUUGGUGUAGGGGUAAAAUCCGUAGAGAUCAAGAGGAAUACUCAUUGCGAAGGCGACCUGCUGGAACAUUACUGACGCUGAUUGUGCGAAAGCGUGGGGAGCAAACAGGAUUAGAUACCCUGGUAGUCCACGCCCUAAACGAUGGAUGCUAGUUGUUGGAGGGCUUAGUCUCUCCAGUAAUGCAGCUAACGCAUUAAGCAUCCCGCCUGGGGAGUACGGUCGCAAGAUUAAAACUCAAAGGAAUAGACGGGGACCCGCACAAGCGGUGGAGCAUGUGGUUUAAUUCGAAGAUACACGAAGAACCUUACCUAGGCUUGACAUUGAGAGAAUCCGCUAGAAAUAGUGGAGUGUCUGGCUUGCUAGACCUUGAAAACAGGUGCUGCACGGCUGUCGUCAGCUCGUGUCGUGAGAUGUUGGGUUAAGUCCCGCAACGAGCGCAACCCCCUUUCUUAGUUGCUAACAGGUUAUGCUGAGAACUCUAAGGAUACUGCCUCCGUAAGGAGGAGGAAGGUGGGGACGACGUCAAGUCAUCAUGGCCCUUACGCCUAGGGCUACACACGUGCUACAAUGGGGUGCACAAAGAGAAGCAAUACUGCGAAGUGGAGCCAAUCUUCAAAACACCUCUCAGUUCGGAUUGUAGGCUGCAACUCGCCUGCAUGAAGCUGGAAUCGCUAGUAAUCGCAAAUCAGCCAUGUUGCGGUGAAUACGUUCCCGGGUCUUGUACUCACCGCCCGUCACACCAUGGGAGUUGUGUUUGCCUUAAGUCAGGAUGCUAAAUUGGCUACUGCCCACGGCACACACAGCGACUGGGGUGAAGUCGUAACAAGGUAACCGUAGGUGAACCUGCGGUUGGAUCACCUCCUUUCUAGA
rnacentral:rRNA from 1 species